rnacentral:tRNA from 2 species
AGGGCUGAGCAGGUGGCUGCAAAGCGGAUUCCAAACCCGCCUACGUAGGUUCGACUCCUACCAGUUCUGCCA